rnacentral:sRNA from 1 species
UAUCUAUUUGUUGCGGAGAUAUAAAGUGUAUGUGAGUAUCUAUACCACCAGCAGUAACUAUUGCACCUUCUGCAGAAAGUGCUUCUGUACCUGCUCCAACUACCAUAUUAUGGUCUACUCCAUCCAUAGUAUCAGGGUUUCCUGCCUUACCUAUUCCUACUAUUUUUCCAUCUUUUAUACCUAUAUCAGCCUUUACUAUACCCCAGUGGUCAAGUAUUAAUGCAUUAGUUAUUACUAAGUCUAAGUCUCCACCUUUAUUACUUCCUGUAGCUGAUUGACCCAUACCAUCUCU